UACAGAGGGUGCAAGCGUUGUUCGGAAUUAUUGGGCGUAAAGCGCGUGUAGGCGGCUUUGCAAGUCGGGUGUGAAAGCCCUCAGCUCAACUGAGGAAGUGCGCCCGAAACUGCAGAGCUUGAGUACCGGAGAGGAUGGUGGAAUUCCCCAAGUAGAGGUGAAAUUCAUAGAUAUGGGGAGGAACACCGGUGGCGAAGGCGACCAUCUGGACGGAUACUGACGCUGAGACGCGAAAGCGUGGGUAGCAAACAGG
rnacentral:rRNA from 1 species